rnacentral:lncRNA from 1 species
UUUCUUAAUCCAAAAUCCAAAGAUCCAAAAUUCAAAAGUUCACAAAUAAAAUCACAAAAAUCCCAAAAUCCACAAAUAAAACCCCAGAAAUCCCAAAGCCCACAAAUAAAAAUCCCCAAAAUCCCAAAGUCCAUAAAUAAAAUUCCAAAAAUUUCAAAAUCCACAAAUAAAUCCCAAAAUCCAAAAUUCACAAACAAAAAAAAUCCAAAAAUCCAAAAGCCCACAAACGAAAUCCCAAAAAAUCCAAAGUUCACAAAUAAAGAUCCAAAACCCAAAGAUCCAAAAUCCAAAGUCUAUAAAUAAAACCCAAUCAAAUCUACCAAACCUAUGUCAUCCAAAUACUCCCAACCCAAACCGAAUUCGUGGGCUUUCCAAAUGGGCCCUUUAUUAUGAAUUAAUUCUAUGAAUUAAUUUUCUGGGCUUUCCAAAGGCCCUUCUAUCAUGCAUUAAUUCGAUAAAUUAAUUUCAUGGGUUUGCCAAAUAGGCCCUUUAUCACGGAUUAAUUCUAUGAAUUAAUUUUAUGGGCCCUCCUUGUCAUAGAUUAAUUUCAUGAAUUAAUGGGCCCUCCAAAUGGCUCCUUAUCAUGAAUUAAUUCAAUGGGCUCUCCAAAUGGCCCCUAUCAUGAAUUAAUUUCAUCAAUUAAUUCAAUGGACUUUACAAACGGGCUUCUAGCAUGAAUUAAUUUCAUGAAUCAGCUUCAUGAACAUCUCGAUUUCAAACGACCGAAAAGUCGUUAAACUAAACCCAAAUUUCAAAUGACCGAAACGUCGCUAAACUAAACCCAAAUUUCAAACGACCGAAAAGUCGUUAAACUAAACCCAAAUUUCAAACGACCGAAAAGUCGUUAAACUAAACCCAAAUCUCAAACGACCGAAAAGUCGUUAAACUAAAC